ACAUUGGUUAGUUUAUUAGCAAGUCCAGCUCAGCUAAACUUUAAAAAAUGGCAACUAGCUAGCUGGAUCAGAUCUGCAAUUGCCUCGUUGACCUGCUGCUGUUUGGGGAUUUCUGCCUCUCAUCAUUAGCUCCUCCUAAGCACCAUCUGCCUCAUCGCUCCUACAACGCCGCUUUCUUCAUCUGUCAGGUUUUCCAUCCUUAGCCGAAGGCAGACACAAUCAAAGAACCCCUUUGAUCAGAUGUAAUUAGAGUUGUCUGAACAGCCCGCGGUCCCCAGCCUGAGCAGACGUUGCUGGUGCCUAGUCUGCUCCUGCUUCAAGGGAAACAAGUGGAGGAUAACCAAAUACUCCAAAGGAACUUUUUAAUCGAUGAUGGGAAAUCAUGGUGGUUUAUGAACAACUUCUUUUGUUAUGGUAUGAUUACCAGUAUGCGGCAAAUCAUGCGAUACCACGACCGUGAGAUACCGCUCCCAGAACAGCUGUAGUUGAUGCUGACAACUACAGCUGUUUGUAUCCUCUUGACGCUCCAUUUUGAGCGAAUAAAAUCUACUCUUUGUUGAAAAAAAGUUGAUGCUGACAAACUUGAGUUAUUGCAGCAACGGAAUGACCUCCAGCCUCUCAAGUGGAAGAUGAUAGAAAAUAAAGCGUUUAGUAGAACUUUCAGGGCAACUAGACAGUUAGUAGCCUCUGUUUUGUUAUCAGUUCUCAUCUUGUAUUAAUAGAUAUACCUUUCUAUGCAAAGGUUCUGCUAUCAGAUCUUGUAAACAGUUGUAGAUAGAGUUUAUACUUGUUUGAAACUAAAAGGGAUCUCUCUUUUUUCUGAUCGUGCAUAUGUUUCGAACCCAACUUUCUCUCUUCUGAACAUAUACACAUGUGUCUGAUCGUGCAUAUG